ACAGGGACUCUCCCUCUAGGUCAAGAAUCGAUAGGUUUUUUGUCUCUUCGGAUUGGGAAGUUAAGUUUCCCGAUCUUUUUCAAAAAAGGCUGCUAAGAUUGCGCUUAGACCACUUUCCCAUUCUCCUUGAUUGUGGUGAUUCUCUGAGAGGCAAAAAAUAUUUUAAGUUUGAGAAUAUGUGCGACUUAAGGCAAAAGGUUUUGUGGACAGGGUAAGGCAGUGGUGGUCUUUCUAUUACUUUCAUGACUCUUCUAGCUUCAUUUUGGCUAGGAAGCUAAAGGCAUUGAAAACUGAUUUAAAAAUCUAGAAUGAAGUUUAAGUUUGAGAAUAUGUGACUUUAAGGCAGAAGGUUUUGUGGACAGGGUAAGGCAGUGGUGGUCUUCCUAUUACUUUCACGACUCUUCUAGCUUCAUCUUGGCUAGGAAGCUAAAGGCAUUGAAAACUGAUUUAAAAAUCUAGAAUGAAAAGGUGUUUAGCAAUGUGGAGUUUUUAAAAAAUCUCUUCUGGUCAUGUGUUUUGGAUGGGUUGGAGGAGGUGAGAGCUUUAGUUGAUGAAGACAAGUUGAGGAAAACCUCGGUUAUUAGUAAAUUGGAAAAAAACUUUAUUAAUGGAGGAGAUUAGUUGGAGGCAAAAGUGAAAGGGCUCUUUGGCUAAAAGAGGGUGACAAAUGCACUAGGUUUUUUCAUCAGGUGGCAAACUCAAAUAGGAGAAACAACUCCAUUGAAGCUCUGGUAGUGGAUUGGUUAUUCUCUUCUGGCCAAUCUAUUAUCAGGGAAUAUGUUGUGCGAUACUAUGAUAGGUUGUUUACAAAACAGUUCAGUUGGAUGGCCUUGUUUUUUACUCCAUAUCUACAAAGGAUGCAUCGGGGUUAGAGAGCCCGUUUGAGGAAGUUGAGGUUUUAAGGUGGUGAAAUAUAUGAACAGUGAUAAGGCACCAAUGCCUGAUGGUUUUUCUAUGGCUUUAUUCCAAGCUUGCUGGGAUGUGCUCAAGGCUGACAUUAUGGGGGCGUUUCAUGACUUUCACACUAGUAGUAAUUUUGAAAAAAGUCUUAAUGCCACAUUCAUCCCAAAGAAAUCCGGGGCUAUUGAUCUUAAAGACUUUCGGCUUAUUAGUCUUGUGAGUGGAAUCUAUAAGAUUAUUGCCAAAGUGCUUGCCAAUAGGUUGAGAAAGGUUGUGGAGAAGAUUAUUUUGAAAUCUCAGAAUGCUUUUGUUCAAGGUAGGCAAAUCUAUGAUUCAGUUCUCAUUGCAAACAAAUGUUUGGAUAGUAGAAUCAGAUUCGGUGAACUAGGGGUGCUUUGCAAACUAGACAUUGAGAAGGCAUAUGAUCAUGUCAAUUGGGAUUUCUUGGCAUAUGAUCAUGUCAAUUGGGAUUUCUUACUUGUUAGUAGUUGUGGUUUUGAGGAGAAAUGGCGCUCUUGAAUAGCGCAUUAUAUUUCUUCGGUGUGUUUUUUCAUUUUGGUGAAUGGGAGGGAAGUCCAUUCGGUUUCUUUAGUAGCUCACGUGGUUUGAGACAAGGUGAUCAUUUUUCUCCAUUUCUCUUUGUUAUUGUGAUGGAGGCUGAGUAGAAUGGUUUCUGCCAUUGUUAAUGGGGUCUUCUUUCUGGAUUUUCUGUGGGGUCUAGGCAGUUUGGGGUGGUUGACAUCUCUCAUUUGUUGUUUGUGGAUGACAUUUUGGUUUUUUGUUGGGCUAAGCCUGAUCAUCUUUACUUUCUACGUGCUUUAUUUUUAUGCUUUGAAGCUCUCCGGUUUGAAGAUAAAUGUGGCUAAGUCGGAAUUGGUUUCCGUGGGUAAUGUGGAGAAUGUGGAUGGGUUGGUGGGCAUUCUAGGCUGCGGUGUUUCUUCUUUGCCUUUGAAGUAUCUUGGUCUUCCGUUGGGGGCCUCCUCCUAUAAGGCCAACGCAGACCGGAAGAUCUUAGUUGUCCUUGGGAUGGAGUUAUUAAAAAGAUCUCCGGUUGGCAAGUUGGAAAAUAAUGUACUUGUUUAAGGGUGGGAGGGUUACCCUCAUCAAGAGUACGCUUUCCAAUUUGCCAACGUAUUUCUUGUCACUCUUUCCUCUCCCUAUGGGUUGCUAAUUUUAUCGAGAAGCUUUAUCGAGAUUUCUUAUGGGGCGGGAUAGGAGAAUGGUUCGAAUUCCACUUGGUAAGCUGGUCCAGGGUUUGUUCUCCGAUCUUUGAGGGUGGGUGGGGGUUUGGAACUUGCUGUUGUAUAAUCGUGCCCUCUUAAGGAAAUGGCUUUGGUGUUAUGUGCAUGAGAGAAGCCUAGUAGAGAGUUGUAGUUGACUCUAAAUGUGGUAGUUCGUGGGGUGGGUGGUUUUCCAACGAACCACUCCUUAUGGCUAGGGUUAUAGAAGAAUAUUAGGAGGGGUUGGGGAUUGUUUUCAAUUCACACCAUUUGAGGUGAGAGAUGGUGCUAAGGUGAGUUUCUAGCAUGAUUUGUGGUGUGGGAACAUGGCCCUCAAAGAGGCUUUUCCAGAUUAUUUGGUAUUGCUUGCACUAAGGAUGCUUUCGUAAUUGCUCAUUUGGAGCUUUCUAGCGGUUCCAAUUAGUGGAACGUAAGCUUUGUUAAAGCGACUCAUGAUUGGGAGGUGGAUUUUUUUGCCUCAAUUUUUAAUUUGUUGUACUCAGGUAGAGCAAGAAAGGAAGGUGAAGACAAGCUUUGGUGGAUCCCCUCAUAAAAAGGGUUGUUCAUUGUUAGCUCCUUCUAUAAGGUCCUUGUUUGUAAUGGUGACAUUCUUUUUCCUUAGAAAAAAAAUUUGGCGGACCAAGGUUUCUUUGAGAGUAGCUUUUUUUGCUUGGUCGGCUGCCCUAAGAAAGAUUCUUACCAUGGAUAACCUUAGGAAGAGGCAUGUCCUUUUGGUUGAUUGGUGUUGUAUGUGCAAGAUGGAUGAGGAGUUCGUGGACCAUCUUUUUCUACAUUGUGAGGUAGCUUGUGCAUAAAGAGUGCAUUUUUCAGUUGUUUUGGGCUUUCUUGGGCUAAUGUAUGUUUGUUAGUGGGCAGACUGUAGCUCUUAGAUUGCUGCUAUAUAGAAGAUAGUGCCUUCUUGUCUUUUGUGGUGUCUCUGGAGGGAACGCAAUGAUAGAUGUUUCGAGGAUCGCGAGAGGACGUUGGCGGAGCUUGUCCUUAUUUUCUUAUACGCUGUAUUCUUGGACAUUUGCUUUUUUAGCUUCCUUUGUGCUUAGCUUUUGUGAUUUCCUUGUUCUCUUUUCUUCUCCUACUUAGGUGUUUAUUUUGUAUAUUUUCUGUGUACCCAAGUUGUGUCUUUUGCGUUAGAUUUUGAGUACUUGUAAAAAAAAAAUGUUUUUGAAGUUGCUUUUCAGCGGUUAAAAAGUAGUGGAGAAAACACAGUCGGGUACCUCUGACUCUGUAGAGCAGGAUGGAACUAUAAGAACAUGCUGAUGCUAAUUUUUAAGAUGAGGAUAGGAUUUAAAUGAUAUGCAUGCCUGGCCUCCUUUUCCCCUCCCGAGAUCUAGAAUCUCUGUGCAUUUACAUGUAGUGGAAAUUCCAGGCGGUAGGAGCCAGUGGCUAUACUCGGGCAAUUUUGACCGGUUAUCUCAAACCUCUACGUUUUUUUGGAUGGACAAUCUGCUGUUUCUGGUGCACAAGGAAUUGCAUGAGAUAUAUAACGCUUGAUCUUAAAUAUUGUAUUAAGCUUCCUGUUGUAGGUUCUGGGACACGAGGUAUCAUCAUGAAUUAUUGACAGACACUAGUCAGAUUUUGUUCUAACUCUUUUAUUUUAUGUCUGUGGUUGAAUUUCUAUACACCCAUUGUUUGACAUCUAUGAGGACCAUGACCAAGCUCCAACUAUAAGCUCUUUUCCAUGUUUUAGAUUUGCUCAGUUGGUGAUUUUGUUGGCAAUACAGGUUAAUGUUAACUUGGCAGGGUUACCUGCUUUGGUUUUGCCCUGUGGAUUUGUUGAAGGGGGAGUUGCAGGCCUCCCUGUUGGUCUUCAGAUGAUUGGUGCAGCAUUUGAUGAGGAAAAAUUGCUGAAAGUGGGUCAUAUCUUUGAGCAGACUCUUCAAAAUUGUAGAUUCGUCCCUCCACUGAUAGAAGAUGACAGUGCAUGGUAGCAACCCUAGGAAGGAUCUUUGAUGAGGAUUUGAAAACCUAAGCCAAUUUGUGACACCUUUGUAUCCAUUGAUUGAAGAUUCCGGAGUCAUCAAUUUGAACAUGACAGCAUGCAGGGGCCACUCCAUUGAUAUAAAACAAUUUUGGAUGUAUGAUAUGAUAUUGAUAGGGGGUAGCAUUGCCAAUAUUUUGGUAUUUAUUGGCUUUAUUAAUUAGAAUUCGAAUUUUCCUGGAACAGGCAGUUUCUGAAGCCAUGUUUCCUCAAAUGUAAAACUAAGAUAGAUACAGGUGAUGAUGAAUGAUGAUACGGAAACCCAAGAUCAAGCAUUUAUGCCCUCUUUUGAUGGUUCCAGAAUCCAGAUGGGCCAGUAAUGUAGUAAUCUUGUGGAAUUUCUGAGUUACUUUUAACUGUUAAGUGAUAAUAAUCAACUUGAUUAGAUGCCAUUUAGUUUU